AAGGGCAACCAUAAGAUAUAUUGACACCUUUUUCCUUGAAUAUACGCAUCACACAAUUACACAUACGAUACACACAAACACAUGAUUAAUCUACACCCAAAAAAUCUGAUCUCUCCCUCUCUCUCAAUCUCACGCCUCUUUCUCUCUCUACUCUCUCUCUCUCUCUCUUUUUCUCUCUAAAAACCACAGCCGCAUCACCGCCGACGAAUAGCCGCCGGUAGACCACCUUAAAGCCUUCUCCUUCCCUUACAUCCCAUACCCCUCACAUCUCCGCCGCCGCCUCUUUAUCCAGUAAAACUCCAACGCCUCAAGCUGCCAGCCACCAAUCCAGCCUCCAUCCCCUUCCUUUUCUUCCCCUAAUGUUUCUCUCUCUGACGCCUCACUGCCGACUACCGAAUUUAAUCACCGGAUGGCCGGCAAUGACAAAUCGCUACUGCUCCUUGCUGCCUCUUCUUCUUUCCCUUUUUCCUCCAUUAAUGGAGGACACUACCUCGUUAGAGAAAUGGCCAGAGCUGGUUGAUUUCAUGCUUCUCUAGCAUUGCUCCGGUGAAACCCGUUGAAGCAAUGCCAACAUUAUUGCCAUUCAAAA
rnacentral:lncRNA from 1 species